rnacentral:pre_miRNA from 1 species
UUUAAUUUUUGACUUUUUAUCUUAUUUAAAAAAAAUUUGUGAUUGAUAUUUUUAUUUUUAUUAGAUGAUAAAUCAUGAAUAGUAUUUUACGUGUAACUAAUUUUUUUUAAUUUCCUAAAAAAAUUUUAAAUAAGACGGAUAGUCAAACGUUGAACACGAAAACCGGAG